UACGGAGGGUGCGAGCGUUAAUCGGAAUUACUGGGCGUAAAGCGCACGCAGGCGGUUUGUUAAGCUAGAUGUGAAAGCCCCGGGCUCAACCUGGGAUGGUCAUUUAGAACUGACAGACUAGAGUCUUGGAGAGGGGAGUGGAAUUCCAGGUGUAGCGGUGAAAUGCGUAGAUAUCUGGAGGAACAUCAGUGGCGAAGGCGACUCCCUGGCCAAAGACUGACGCUCAUGUGCGAAAGUGUGGGUAGCGAACAGC
rnacentral:rRNA from 1 species